GCGUUGCUUUGGCUUUGCAUAUACUAAAAUUGGAACGAUACAGAGAAGAUUAGCAAGGCCCCUGCGUAAGGAUGACACGCAACAAGAAAAAGAUACCCAAGAUUAAU